rnacentral:rRNA from 1 species
AACGAACGCUGGCGGCAUGCCUAACACAUGCAAGUCGAACGAGACCUUCGGGUCUAGUGGCGCACGGGUGCGUAACGCGUGGGAACCUGCCCUUAGGUUCGGAAUAACUCCCCGAAAGGGGUGCUAAUACCGGAUAAUGUCUUCGGACCAAAGAUUUAUCGCCUUUGGAUGGGCCCGCGUUGGAUUAGCUAGUUGGUAGGGUAAAAGCCUACCAAGGCGACGAUCCAUAGCUGGUCUGAGAGGAUGAUCAGCCACACUGGGACUGAGACACGGCCCAGACCCCUCGGGGGGGGGGGUGGGGGGAAUAUGGGACAAGGGGCGAAAGCCUGACCCAGCAAGGCCGGGGGAUUGAUGAAGGCCUUAGGGUUUAAAAGCUUUUUUCCCCGGGAUGAUAAUGAAAGAACCGGGGGAAAAAGCCCCGGCUAACCCCGU